GGCCCGAUAGCUCAGUUGGUAGAGCAGCGGAUUGAAAAUCCGCGUGUCACUGGUUCAAUUCCAGUUCGGGCCACCA
rnacentral:tRNA from 1 species